rnacentral:rRNA from 1 species
UACAGAGGUCCCAAGCGUUGUUCGGAUUCACUGGGCGUAAAGGGUGCGUAGGCGGUUGGGUAAGUCUGACGUGAAAUCUCCGGGCUCAACUCGGAGCCUGCACGAGAAACUGCCGGGCUUGAGUGUGGGAGAGGUGAGUGGAAUUCCUGGUGUAGCGGUGAAAUGCGUAGAUAUCAGGAGGAACACCUGUGGCGAAAGCGGCUCACUGGACCAUAACUGACGCUGAUGCACGAAAGCUAGGGGAGCAAACAGG